GCGUCGUGGUUCCGAGUCCCGGUCCGAUCUGGAGCCGCCCUCACGGUCCUGCCUCGCGGAUCCGAAUCCGGGGGUCGAAUUCCGCGCCUGGAGUCCGCCUCGUGUUUUUGAGUCCGGGUCGGAUUCCGUGCCUGGAGUCCGCCCCGCGGCCUCGCAUCGUGGUUCCGAGUCGCGGAUCAGAGCUGGGGCCCGCAGUCCGCCCCGUGGCCCAGCCUCGGGGAGCAGAGUCGGGGGUCGGAGCCGGGGUCCGGAGUCCGUCUCGCGGUCCCGCGUCGUGGAUUUGAGUCGUGGAUCGGAGCCGGGGUCCGGAGUCCGCCUCGCGGUCUAGCCUCGUGGUGUCGAGUCGGGGGUCGGAGUGGCCGUCCGGGGUCCGCCCCGCGGUCCUGUAUCGCGGUUCUGAGUCCCGGGAUCGGAGCCAGGAUCCGGGGUCCGCCCCGCGGUCCAGUCUCGCGGUUCUGAGUCCUGGGAUCGGAGCCAGGAUCUGGGGUCCGCCCCGCGGUCCAGUCUCGAGGUUCUGAGUCCCGGGAGCGGAGCCAGGAUCCGGGGUUCGCCCCGCGGUUCUGAGUCCCGGGAGCGGAGCCGGGGUUCGCCCCCCCUCGCCUCGCCGCGGUCCAGUCUCGCGGUCCUGCGUCGUCGGGAAUCCGUCUGGGUCCGACGUUCUGAUUCCGAGGCUCGGGGUUCCCGCUGCGGGGUCCGGGCAGUCUGCCCGAGUGAAGGCGGGAGUUCGCGGGGGGAAUCCGUGUCCACGUGGUGGUCCGAGUGCGGGUCGGGGCAGCGAUCUGCGUCUGCGCGGGGAGGCCGCCUUCCUGCCGACGUGGCAGACUCGCGGCUGGGCGGGCUGGGCGCGCUGGGGGCGGGCUCCGAGCCAAGAUCCCGGCCGCGGUCCGCGACUGGGCUGCGCUGUGAGUGGGGGGGGGGGGCUGGGGGGGGUCUAGAGUCCCAGUUAGAUUCCCAGGUGGGAGGAGGGGCUCUGGGUCGGGGCGGCUUCCCGGGAUUCGAGCCAGAGUGGUGGUUCCGAGUCAGGACUGGACGCUCUGGAAGGUGCUGGUUCCCAGUCAGGUCUGGGUGCGGAGUCCGACUCGGAGAUCGCGGCUGGGGUUUGGGGUCCGAGUUGGGGAUCCCAGUCAGAAGUUGGAACGGAGGUUUCUGGUUGGGGUGGGGAUUCUGAGUCACAGCCCGCUGGGAGUUGGGUUUGGAAUCACGGGUCUAAGUAGGGGAGGGGAGUGCGGAAUGGAAGUCUUGGUCACGCCCGGGAUAGAGUCCACGACUGGAGUCACGGCUCUCAGUCUGAACGGUAGCGGGGGACAGCCCGGGACUUGGCUUCCCCUGAGCCCCAACCCCAGUGUGCUCAGCAUAGCAGACGGCCUUUUCUGCGAAACGGGGAUGAGUGCCUUCGUCCCGCAGGACGGUUCUGGUCGUGGCAGGCAUGAGCUCCUCCGCGCCAGAGCUCUGCCUAGACGGACAGACGCACGGAGAGCCACCCCGGACAGGACGUUGCUAGCACAGUAACGCUCGCAUUUUGGGUACAUUUGCCGGUCCCUCUCUGUACUGCGGUGCCCGUGAUGGACCGAGAGCUCCCAGGAGGGACUUUUCUGUUGUUCUCUGCUGCCCCCCACACCCCCCGCACCCCCCCAGCCGAGAGCCUGAUGCACAGCCUUGCAGGACUUGGGGAAGGAAAGCAGGCAGGAUUAACCAGAUUUCCAUGGUGUCUCAAAUGACCCAUCUCUGCACCUGUUUUCCAGAUACUCACUGGGAGAAAAAUUUAAGGAUUGGGUUGCUUGAUUACGGUUCUAUUUUAAUGUGUUUCCAAACAUGUUAAAGAGAAAAGUGGGCCUGUUUCAGGAUUUAUGCUCCAGCUAGAGGGAUCUUUUAAAUUGGGAAUCAGAGCAUGUCCAAAUUCAAAUAAGGAGAACACGAGAACAUUAUGAACUAGUUCCCUCGUGGGUGCCGAGGUCCCACGCACACCGUCCGCUCACCGAGUGCGACAGUGUGCUACAGCGUUCUUCGACAAGGGGGAUUUCUCCUAGGAAUGCAGAGAUGAUCCAAUAUCAGAAACUCUACCCGUGUAAUUCACCACGUUAAGAGACCAGAGGAGAAAAACCAUAUGGUUCUCUCAGUAGAGACAGAAGAAUUACACAGUUCCAGGCCUCUGCCUCAUUUUAGGGCGGGGGGGGGGGGGGAUAGCACUUAGCCAGCCCGGACGAGAGGCCCCGAUGUGAUACAGAUUCUGUACCAACGACUGGCUUUUCAGCAGACUGUCUCCGUCCCUUCCAGCGGGGGACAAGGCACAGGGGCCACCACAGGCAUCCUCUCCCCUCUCAUGAGGGAAGGGAACAGAGCCAAGGGGGAGGCCCGGGAGAGAGGGAACCGCCCGUCCCGAGACGAGAAGCCUCUGCUUCUCGGACAAAGUGUUGAAGUCCCCAGAGCACCUGGUUCAUGUGGGCUGGAUCCGUGGGUGGGUAGUUAGCCCCUCGGAAGCUAAACCUGAGAAACAUGAAAAACCGAACCCAGGGCCAUCCGGGCAUGGAUUCCGGCGGGUCACGCUUCCUUUGGGAAACUCUUUAACUUUGUGAGAGUGAGAGCAGAGCAGGCAAAUAACGUCCGAGUGUUAGGAUGAAAGUGGUUUUGACCUUGGGCGAAGGCCUCCAGGGCUCUCUGGGGUCCUCAGACCACACUCUGAAAACUGCUGAGCUGCGUGAAAAAGAGUCAACUUUUGCAGAAUGGAAAAGAGGCGAGAGCAAAGGUUUGGGGACAGAAGAUCGACCCCCCCCCCCCCCCCCCCCGCACGUGAGCCAGUGUGAGUGAGUGAGAAGCAGGAGAGAAGUUACAGCAGCAACACUUAAGCCCGGUCAGGAAUUAACAAAGAAGACUUUUAUGGAGAAAAUGUAAAAACUCUGCUGAAGGAAGUAAGGGAACACGGACUGAUGCGGAGACUGUCCGUUCUCUUGGACGGGGCGGCUCAGCCUGAGAAGGGGUCAGGGUUUGCCCAGAUCUUUUAGUGCAGCUCUGCUUAAACUUCCAGUUGGGGUUUUUGAGGAACUUGACAGACAUACUCUAAAGCGUGCGUGAAAGGAAAUGCUCUGCAAACACCAAGUGCACCCGCGGCAGGAGGACAGAGGCGGCCUUGUGCCCGCAGACCCCGGCGCCCGCUCCAAGCCUCAGCAGCAGGAGCGGCGGGGGACGCCGGCCCAGCAGAGACGCCAGAGGCAGCCUUGCCUGAGAGGAAGGUGGCCUGAGACCAAGGUGGUGCCGCGUGGCCGCGGGGACCACGCGGAGGACGACUAGGGGAAGCUAGCCCCGAGUGGAGAAACCAGAAUGCGGAUUCCUGCCUGAGCCGCCUGGGAAGAGCAGCCUCCGAAUGGACAGCAGAGUUGCUGCUUGUUCACUAGGACAGUGGGGGGGGGGGGCAGGGCAGCAGGCCGGUGGGGGGAGAGUCACCUCCAGGCCUUGGGAGCCUGGGGCGGGGGCGCGAGGGGGGUGGGUGGGGGUGUGGAACGCAGUGCCCAGAAAACACAGCUUCAAACGUGAAAGUCACAGACUCGCAAAUAAAGUGUUUCUGCUGCAUCAGUCGGUUGUGGUGAAGUACUUUUGGGGAGCCUCUGAGACGGGGCUUGUGUUCACUCUCACUCACGGGACUCUGCCCAGGUCACUGAUGACAGACGGCGCGACACUUGAACAAAACCGAUAAGCGGCCGACGGCUGCCGCACACCCGGCCGUCCCGCAGACCACAGAGAGGAGGACGGGGCCCGACCGCAGCAGGCAAG